GAUGAACGCUAGCUACAGGCUUAACACAUGCAAGUCGAGGGGUAACGAGAGGAAAGCUUGCUUUCCUUGUCGACGACCGGCGCACGGGUGAGUAACGCGUAUCCAACCUGCCCCCAACUAGGGAAUAACCUUGCGAAAGUAAGACUAAUACCCUAUAAUUUCCUCAGAUGACAUCUGACGAGGAAUAAAGAUUUAUCGGUUGUGGAUGGGGAUGCGUCUGAUUAGCUUGUUGGCGGGGUAACGGCCCACCAAGGCAACGAUCAGUAGGGGUUCUGAGAGGAAGGUCCCGCACAUUGGAACUGAGACACGGUCCAAACUCCUACGGGAGGCAGCAGUGAGGAAUAUUGGUCAAUGGGCGGAAGCCUGAACCAGCCAAGUAGCGUUCAGGAUGACAGCCCUAUGGGUUGUAAACUGCUUUUAUACAGGAAUAAAGUUAGCCACGUGUGGUUAUUUGUAGGUACUGUAUGAAUAAGGACCGGCUAAUUCCGUGCCAGCAGCCGCGGUAA
rnacentral:rRNA from 1 species